CAGAUAGACAACCCAAGAGGGGGGGUGAAUUGGGUUUUAAAAUAAUUUUGCAAUUAAAACGUUGUGGAUGACUAAUUAAUGCUUUACCAAGAUGAUUAAUUAAUUGCUAUGUGCUGUGAAUGAAAUGAAAGUAAAAGAAAGAGACAAACAAUCACAAACACAAGGCUUUUAUAGUGGUUCGGAGCUAACCCUUGCUCCUACGUCUACUCCCCAAGUCUCACUUGGGAAUUCACUAUAACCCCUUGGAUUACAGCCGGUUGUUUUACAAGCUCACAACCAAACUUGUUGUUUUACGAGCUCACAACAAACUCGGUCGGUUUUUCCUGGUUCACCGACUAGAACAACCCCGAUUGUUUUCCCGGGAUCACAAUCGAACCCUUACACGUUGGUUUUACACUCGGCUCACCAACCAACCUCUACACCCUUGAUUCAAUCCCCCGAUUGAACCAAGCAAAGACAAGAUGGAAAUAAUGACAACAAACAGAAAAACAGAGCUUCUCAAAAGCAGAUAAAUAACAAUAUAAACUAGAGAGAAGUUAAGAGCCCUCAAACACGUUUGAGUUGGAGUAGAGUAGGGCUUCUUGAACUUCGGGU
rnacentral:lncRNA from 1 species